rnacentral:lncRNA from 1 species
CUUUGCAAAAUGUCCAACAAAGAAUCUUGUGAAAAAAAGGAGACGUCUUGGAGAAAAGGCACCACCCUAUCAUCCAAUAUUGAAGAUAAGAGAGAGAGAAAAACAUCAGUAAGUUCUCCUUGUUCAACUUGCUCUAUAAGAUCAGUGUCAUCAGAGAAGAGAAAACUGAAAUCAGAUCCUGCAGAUAUUCUGUACUGUAAUAUGAAAAGAAGACAAGAACUGAAAAGACUGAAUGUAGAAACUGACCCUCCAAGAAAGAGACCAAAAAUUGAUUCUUCAUCCCAAGGACUUGUUACACUCCAGGAAACAUCAUAUUCAGAUAAUAAUCAGAUUAUUACACAGAGUCCUUCUUCAAAUGAAACUAAGAAAGAUAUAAGUAAAUGUGUAGAUUUUCAAGUUAAAGAUAUUAAAUUGGCAAAUGUUAAGAGUAAGCUGGACCAUGGAAUUAAAAACUUUAGCUGUCCUAAGGUGGCCAAAGAUGUGAAACCAAAAGCUGAAGGCCAGGCAAGUGAAAAAAAAUGGCCUCAUUUACUUGCUCAGAGGGAGAAGAUGAAGGAAUUCAAGAAAGAAAGGUACAAUAAAUUUAGAGACAGUUCUGAAAAAUGUGCUUCGGAGAAAUGCAAGAGAAUCCAACUUUCUCAGGAUUGUAAUUCCAGCAAGAUAAUUAAGGAACCCUUUGAAUCUAGAAGGAGAAGGAUUAAUUUCAAAAUCCCGGUAAAAUCCCGCAAUACCCUCCAGAAUCUUGUACAAGAAAAUGUCUUCAGUUUAGGUUCUAACAAGUUAAAGACUAAACAGGAGAAAAAAGAAUGCCCAGAAGCCUCCCAGUUUUCAUUAAAGUUUACAAGGCACAGAAGUGAAUAUUUAUUUUCAGAUUCCACAUAUAAGCAGACUGUUCAUGAGUGGGAAGGAGAAUAUCAUGAGCAUCAAGAUAUUAAUGAUUUAAGUUCUGGUGAAAACCUAACCCAGAGUUUUGAAGCACCAUGUUCUUCAGUGUCAGUUGAAAGUAUUCAAGAUGCAGAUCAAGAGAUGCAGAUAGUAGAAGAGCUUCAUGCUGCUCGUGUGGGAAAAAGUGUGGAUUUACCUGAGGUUCCACCUUCAGGAGAGUUAAUGAGUAUGGAAAUUGACGUGGUAGAACAUGAUAUACAUUCCUCUGCUGCAAAUGCUGCUUCAGACAAAAAGCUUCUAAUUGUUAUUGACACAAAUAUUCUAAUGAAUCAUCUCAAAUUUGUUAGGCUUUUGAAGACAAGAGAAAUCCCAGGCUUUGAGAGACUUGUGUUAAUAAUUCCCUGGGUGGUUGUACAAGAGCUGGAUCGUAUGAAGGCAGGAAAAUUACUGAAACAUGCCCAGCACAAAGCUAUACCUGCAGUUCAUUUCAUCAAUGACAGUCUCAGAAAUCAAGAUAGAAAGCUAUGGGGUCAGUCAAUACAACUUGCAUCUCAAAAACUUUAUGGAUUGAGUGAUGAGAACAAUGAUGAUCGUGUAUUAAAAUGCUGUCUUCAGUACCAAGAACUAUUCCCUUGUUCUCUUGUUAUUUUGUGCACGGAUGAUAGAAAUUUAAGAAACAAAGGCCUAAUAAGUGGUGUGAAGUCACUCAGUAAAGAAGAAUUGAGUGCAGAGUUAUUAAACUUAUCUCUGAACACAGAUGUAUGUCAUCAGCCUUGUAUAUCUAAACAACAAUUGAAAGCAGAAACAACACCUUUGGAGGAGAGCUAUGAGGAAGAAUCUACAAACUCUGGACUACCCCUUCUACUUGAAAAGAUUGUAUCUGAUCUCGAAAGAUCUCUUGGAACAGCUUUAUCUUCCAUAUUAGAAACAGAAAUGAAAAUUGCUUUUGGAAACCUCUGGAUGGAGAUGCUGUACUUGAAACCUCCAUGGACUCUAAUACAUUUAUUACAGUGCUUUAGAAAACAUUGGUUGGCUGUAUUUGGAUUAGUUAUGGAAAAGAACUUGCUCUUAACCAUUGAGAGUCUAUAUGAAAAUCUCCGUAAAGCUAACAAAGCAGUGGAUUUUACAACAGUGAAAUUCCUGCUUCAGGAUUCUGAAAGUUUGCUACAUGCUUUCAGUACAAGGUCAAAUUAUGAUGGUAUUCUUCCACAGGCCUUUGCUCAAGUAAACAAACUACUCCAAACAUUUGCAGAGGGCAAGGCAAAACUUAAGCAAAAUUCUUCGAAAAAUAUCCCGGGUAAAAGCCAGGAGGAUAAUUCUCUGAUGAAAUCUGAUAACCAAGAAAUCACCGUUUUCCCCGGUUCUUAUCCUCCCCAACCCAGCAGGCAUCAAGAAAUCUGGUCUAUCCUAGAGAAUGUUUGGAUUACACUGUAUCAAAACAGCAUGGAUGUGUUUCAAAGGUUGGAUUCAAAUUCAACUCUGACGUCUUCAAAGAUAGCAUCAUUUGAAGAAGCAUUUGUAUAUCUUCAAAAGUUAAUGGCAGCUGUUAAAGAUAUUCUGGAAGGAAUUCAGAGGAUUUUGGCCCCCAACAGUAAUUAUCAGGAUAUUGAGACCCUCUAUAACUUCCUAAUCAAGUAUGAGGUAAAUAAAAAUGUCAAAUUUACUGCCCAGGAACUAUAUGAUUGUGUUUCACAGGCUGAGUAUCGUGAAUGGUACCUCCCAUAUGAACCUCUGGUAUACUCCACAGCUCACAGUUUUCAAGGAAAAGUUAACCGUUGGAUGCCGCCAGCUGACUGAGAUGGAAUACACCAUGCAGCAGUGCAAUGCCUCUGUCUAUAUGGAGGCCAGAAACAGGGGAUGGCGUGAAGACAUGCUCAACGAUAGGACCUAAGUGCCGAUUUGUAACUUAGAAGGAACUGCAUUUGUCUUCAGGAACAACAGAGUACUUUUCAACCUUUUGUGCCAAACCUGAGAGACUUAGAAGAAAUCUCAUAGGUAUAGAAAGAUGAUUGCCUAAUACUGACAAUCUCAUUGAGCUUCUAUUGCAUCCAUUGUGGAAUAAAUCGUGGACUCGACUCUUCA